AUUGAACGCUGGCGGCAGGCCUAACACAUGCAAGUCGAACGAGUGGCGGACGGGUGAGUAAUGUUUGGGAAACUGCCCGAUGGAGGGGGAUAACUACUGGAAACGGUAGCUAAUACCGCAUACCAUCGGAUGUGCCCAGAUGGGCUUAGCUAGGAGGUGGGGUAACGGCUGACCUAGGCGACGACCCCUAGCUGGUCUGAGAGGAUGACCAGCCACACUGGAACUGAGACACGGUCCAGAGUCCUACGUGAGGCAGCGGGGGGGAAUAGUGCACGAUGGGAGCAAGCCUGAUGCAGCCAUGCCGCGUGUAUGAAGAAGGCCUUCGGGUUGUAAAGUACUUUCAGCGAGGAGGCGUUACUCGCAGAAGAAGCACCGGCUAACUCCGUGCCAGCAGCCGCGGUAAUAC
rnacentral:rRNA from 1 species